rnacentral:tRNA from 1 species
AAGGCCUGUAAAACUNUAAUUUAC